UCAAAUGAAGAGAAGAAGAAGAAGACACAUGACAUAACCUAGGAUUGUAACGGAUUAUUUGUUUAUUUAUUGUUAAAAAUAACAGAUAAAUUAUUAAUGUACAAUUCUUCACUUAACUCCAAAGCAAGUUUAACCAUUUCAUACAAAUUGUGUUAAAUUCCACACAUUGUGUUCUUAUCUUAAACCAGCAAUGUACAUUACAACUUGUGGUACCUACCUUCCUCAAUUUCAGUAGGUAAGUAAAUCUCUACAAUGUUCUCAGAAAUGAUACUGAGAUUAAUGUACAUUUUUAACUCUUCGCUGAGGAUGUCAGUAAAUAUUGAAGAAGUAUGAAAAAUUCAUUGCCAUUCAACCGUUUUCCAAAAAAACUCUGUUUUUUAUUUAGUCAUCUACUACAAUCACAAGGAGCAGGAUCUUCUUAAUUUAAAUAUGCAAAGAAAGAAUCAAUGUCCAUCAUCACAGCAGCGAAACAGCUUCACAUACUGCUAGUGGCUACUACCAUCAAAUCAAGUGAAGAAAUUAUAAUUGGGUCUGCUGAAUAACGUAAGUGCCACACUGUUCGUUUUUGAGAAGUCGAAGAAGAAGUUUUAAAAUUGUGAUAAUGGUGAGUUUAUACAUUUUAAGGACCAUCCCUUAUAAUACCAACUAACAACCAAAGACCAGAUGGACAGAUGACAUCCGAAAAAUAGUCGGAACAAAUUGGAAGUAUGUUGCUGAAGAUAGAGAUCAAUGGAAGGAGUUGGAAGAGGAGUGUGUCCAAAAAUGGACAAUAGAAGACUAAAAAGAAGAACAACCUGUUUAUGAACUUCAUUUAUUGAAUGUGGACCAUAUCAGUUAGUGUGAGUUCAUCUUUAGCAUUAUUUGUUAGGUUAGGUUACGGAACACCUGGCCAGAAAUAAAGAUCAGUGCAAAGGAUAGGACAAAAUGGAGGCAGACCAGUUGACGUCCUAGACUCCGCAUGGAAUGAAAAGGAAUAAGUAAGCACCGAACACCCCGAAGGCACAGUCGACUCGGCGGGAAGAGUUCGCGCAUCCGGUUUGCGCACGACCCACGGCCAUUUUUUCGGCCCUCAGGUCCGCUGCUGCUGCUGAUACAAUCAAUUUGUGCUUGUUGUUGUCAGAUCACGCUUGUUUCGGUGUUACUUUGAUUUUGUGUUGUUCUGUUAGGUGAUUUUGUUUUUGUGCAAUAAUAAUUAUGGAUAUGGACAAAAAGAAAGGCAGUUCGAAUUCAACCUGUGCAGCGAUCAACUGUAAAAACAGGGUAUCAAAUUGCAGCUAUAGUUUUUUCCGUUUUCCAAAAGACGAAUCAAGAGCUGAAAGAUGGGCGUUAGCAGCAGGUAGGGAAGACCUGCUUCAGAGUAGAGGAACACUACAUAUUACCCAUCGUCUGUGUGGAGCUCACUUUGAAAAGAAAAUGUUUAUAGUUAAUGAGACUAGGAAGACAUUGUUGUUUCAAGCAGUUCCAACUUUGUUCCCAUGCUUGGAAGGUUCAACAAGUGGUGUGUUGGCAGAACAUAGCUACUGUAGUUUCCUAAAUGUCCCACAUGCUAGUAGCCAUUCCUUUUAAAAUUAACUAACAACCACACAUGAGAUGGGCAGAUGACAUCAACCAAAUAGCUGGAACAAAUUGGAACUAUGUUAUUCAGGAUAUAGAUCGAUGGAAAGAGUUGGAAGAGACAUGUAUUAAAAAAUUGAUAAUAAAAGGCUAAAAAGAAGAACAACCUGUUUAAGAACAUCUUUUUUUAAUACAAACCAUAUCAGCUAAUGUGGGUUCAUCUUUAGCAUUAUUUGUUAAGCAGUUCCUGGACAGAAACUCAGCCACAUACAUCAUACUCCCAGGCCAUCCCUAGAAUACCAACUAACAGCCAAUACAUGAGAUGGGUAGAUGACAUCAGAAAAAUAGCUGGAACAAAUUGGAAGUAUCUUGGUCAGGACAAAGAUCAAUGGAAGGAGCUGAAAGAGGCCUGUGUCCAAAAAUGAACAAUAGAAGGCUAGGUUAAUAGAAGAACAACCUGUUUCGUCGAGUCUAGAAUAUGGUAGACCGACAGGUGUUUUUGUAUGUUACAGUUCAAGUUGAUUAUCCAGUUCGAGUUGACUAUUCCUAGUUCGAGUUAACUCAAACGGCUGGUUUUAGUAAAAAAUGAUUAUAAAUAUAAAAUGAAGAUUUUUAUACAUUUACUAUAGUCUGUUUUUAAACCAAGAGGAGUAAUUCAAAUUUCCCGCGCCAUAAAGCUUGUUUGUAAUUGGUCCAACCUCAGUCAAGUUUACUCCACUGUUACUAAAAUUUUGACACUAAUGACAUUUAUAAAAUUUUGACACUUUUGGCAUUUCAUAGGUAAAUUAAGUUAUAUAGUCCGUUCGCUAAACUCGGACACAACUGACUAGUGAUUUUAGUAAGCAAUACUGCCAAUUUUGGUAAAAUUGUCAAAAAAUAAUUACUAAAUUGUUAGUAAUUUUGACAGUUUUUGCAAAAUUGGCAAAAAAAUUGCCGACUAAAAUCUCUAGCCAGUUGUGGGUGAGUUUAGCGAACCGACUAUAUCAGCGAUUUUUUGUAUUUUCUGCGUUAUUCAUUUAAUUUUUAGAUUUUUAAUCUGUUUUAUAUAAAAAAAAUAGUUGUUUUUAGAACUCUUUAGCGACGUAUUUGUAUAAUAUAAUAUUUAUGGAUUACCAUCGAAGGCCGAUAUGAUCAACCAAAAAAGAUGUAUUUGGUGAUAUUUCUAGUGACUUUCUUGGGUGUGAAUCUGUCUUUUUAGUUUACUCCUCUUGGUUUAAAAACAAAGCUUAGUAAAAGUAGACUCGACUAGAAAAAGUAUACUCUUCCCAAUGCCAUUUAGUAAGAGUUGAUUCAAACAAUCAACCGAUUCUAGAAAUUAAAUGUUACUGGAUAUGUUCAGAUUGUGAUAAGUAGUUGGAACGGUCAAAACAAAAAAACGCGCACGCAUCAAAAAAGCACGUGAGACUAUACUCGUAUAAUCCACAUUUACUGAAUUGAUCCAGGAAUAGUCAACUCAAACUAGUAAGAGUUGAUUCUACUUUUCCCGUGAUCUACUUUUACUAACAAGGGUUAGGAAGAGUCUACUUCAACUAGUAAAAGUUGAAUUAAAUUUAUCAAAUCAACUCUUACUGCUCGUUUUAGUUUGAGUCGACUCGAACUAGGAAUAGUCAA